GCGAGUAUAGCUCAGUGGUAGAGCGUUCGACUGGAGAUCGAGAGGUCCCCGGUUCGAGUCCGUGUGUUUUCU
rnacentral:tRNA from 1 species